UCUCUUCAGGUCCUAUAAAUCUUUCACCUUUUCCUAAAGAUUUCCGUGGAGUGG
ensembl:snRNA U5 U5 spliceosomal RNA